GUUGCUUUACGACAGCAUCUGCUCCAGUGUCCGGAGGAACUGCUUAGGGAUCGAGUUGAAAAAGUUGAUUCUAGGGACAUCAAGAUCGAACCAGACGGGAUCGAAUUAAGCCGGGAAAGAUGACAGAGGCGAUGAUAAGGACGAAACCCGGGAUGGUAAGCGUGAAGGAGAUGCCGCUUCUGCAGGACGGACCUCCUCCUGGCGGUUUCCCUCCGGUACGGUACGCUCGCCGCAUCCCUACUAAGGGCCCCAGUGCCCUCGCCAUUUUCCUCACUGCAUUUGGUGCUUUUUCCUGGGGCAUGUAUCAGGUCGGCAAGGGCAACAAGAUAAGAAGGGAGCUCAAGGAAGAGAAAUAUGCUGCUCGCAGGGCAAUAUUGCCCAUGCUUCAAGCUGAAGAGGACGAAAGAUUUGUUAGAGAAUGGAGCAAAUAUUUGGAAGAGGAGGCCAGAAUCAUGAAGGAUGUGCCUGGCUGGAAAGUUGGCGAAAGUGUCUACCAUUCUGGGAGAUGGAUGCCCCCAGCAACUGGGGAGCUGCGACCUGAUAUCUGGUAGAUAAGGAAAAGGAUCUUAGAGUUCAGACUACAAGAUGCGAGCAAGGCGGGAAGGCCUUAGACAAAUAUGGUUUUUCAAUCUAGUUUAGUUGUAGGUUUUUGCAUAUGCAGGUUGGGAAUCGCCAUCAAUUUAAGUCUCUAUAUGCGUUGGCUGAUGAUGAAUAAAAUUCUGUUUUCAGCUGCAAGCAUGGUGUAUAGACUGUUCUUCUAUGCGAAUGUUGUUGAAUGGAAUCGCCCUAUACAUCUUUGUCGGAUGUUUUCUCUCAUCUACUUAUGAAACUAUCAGUCGGCUCUCUCAAAGGCUUAAAGUUUGGUAGGAUAACCUGUUCUCUAUGUUUUGCGUGUAUAUCACCUAUUUUUUUAACUUAGAAGAUAACUUCGAAGAUCAAUCACCAAAAGUAAGUCCCUUCA